rnacentral:rRNA from 1 species
UACGUAGGGUGCGAGCGUUGUCCGGAAUUAUUGGGCGUAAAGAGCUUGUAGGCGGUUUGUCGCGUCUGCCGUGAAAAUUCGAGGCUCAACCUCGAACUUGCGGUGGGUACGGGCAGACUAGAGUGUGGUAGGGGAGACUGGAAUUCCUGGUGUAGCGGUGAAAUGCGCAGAUAUCAGGAGGAACACCGAUGGCGAAGGCAGGUCUCUGGGCCGUAACUGACGCUGAGGAGCGAAAGCGUGGGGAGCGAACAGG